UACGGAGGAUCCGAGCGUUAUCCGGAUUUAUUGGGUUUAAAGGGAGCGCAGGCUGAUUAUUAAGCGUGACGUGAGAUGUAGCCGCUCAACGGCUGAACUGCGUCGCGAACUGGUAGUCUUGAGUGAGUUCGAUGUUGGCGGAAUUCGUGGUGUAGCGGUGAAAUGCUUAGAUAUCACGAAGAACCCCGAUUGCGAAGGCAGCCAACAAGGCCUUAACUGACGCUAAAGCUCGAAGGUGCGGGUAUCGAAC
rnacentral:rRNA from 1 species